AAGUCGUGGAGAUAGGGAUAGCGUAGUUGGGAAAAAACCAGGGAGAUGGAAUAUACAUAAUGCAAAUGAAAAAUGGCAGUGACUAUGUCGAUGUGUAAGUUGUUUUCGGUUUAUCUGUUUGGAUUAUUGAGAGUCAGACCAAGCUAUAGCAGUGCGAGGUUAGCAUCAACACCAUCAUCGUCAUCAUCAUCAUCAUCAUUCCCAGUACUAUCGGUUAGAAUAAGAGGAGGAGGAAGAAGCAUAAGCACGUGGUCGCAACAAAAGCUACGGGACAAAAAAGGAAGCUUCUUCUCCAUUUUGUGUUCCAAGUAUGGAAGCAUCACCAGCACUGGUUCUGAUGCUAAUGGCAAUGGUGAUAGCGAUGGUAAAGACAAGGGUUACCUUGAAUUGACUGACCAAGAGCUAAUGAGUCAGUGCCAGCUCGAAACUUUCAAAGCCUCUGGGCCUGGUGGUCAGCACCGCAACAAGCGAGAGUCUGCCGUCCGACUCAAGCACCUCCCUACUGGUCUCAUUGCUCAGGCUGUUGAGGAUCGAUCACAGCACAUGAAUCGUGCAUCGGCCUUAGAUCGCCUCCGCACCAUUUUAGCUCUCAAGGUCAGGAACACUGUGGAUCUUGAUGCUUAUUCACCUCCUCGAGAGCUCCUUCAAAUUCUUCCAGCAAAGUCUACCAUUCGAGGAUCAGAUGUUGGUCCCCAAAUUGGACCAAAAAAUCGUAAAUUUAUUCUGGGAAUGCAAGCCCUGUUGGAUCUAAUUUUUGCAGUUGAGGGUUCUAUAUCAGAUGCAGCAAAGUUUCUUGGAUAUUGCAGGUUAAGCACAGGGGCCCUGUCACGAUUGAUACUUUCAGAUGAUUCUCUUCGAAUGGCAGUGAAUGAAUUAAGGGCAUCUAAGGGUAUGAAGCCAUUGAAGUAGGAUAUUCCUGAGAGUUUUUCUCUUCUUCAGAAACAAUUCUUAUUGUUCAGAUGAUAUUAGUUUGCAAUUUGCUACACAGAGACGAAGAAAUUCGACUCGGUUAGACAGAAAUGAAUAUAUCAUGAUGAUCCAUUUUGGUUGACUGAAGGUGGUCACGAGAUUAUUUACUUCUUUUAGUUGUAGUUUUUGGUAUAUAAUCCUUGCUAAUUGCUUCUGGGACAACGAGUGUUGUGAUUCAUUCUUCCCUAUUGGUUUGGUUUUCUGCCGAAGAAUCAUUUUAAGAUCUAGGGUGCCUUGCCGCAAAAUGUGUCUCUUGGGAAUUUCACUGACACAAAUAUUGAGUCCAGGCUCAUUAAAAUGCUGUGUAAGGGCGGCUAAUCACUUGCCUGGUCCCCCUACAGAAAAGAAAGGCUCCAAUUACAAAUGCCAUAUUAAAUAUGGACAACUUUCCUAUAAGCUUUUCGGCAAGUUGAGAUUUGAUAAAAGGAAUUAUCCACUUUGAAUAGCAGAGUAUCUCAAAGCUGUUGCGCAGUUUAGCCACCAACGGAGAAGAUUAUAAAAAUUAAACGGAAGAAAUGUAAGCAAAGUACGAUAAUAUGUAGUAUUUUUCCUAUGCUAAUUAGCUGAACUUACCAUGCUUUGAACCAACAUAAUGUCGUUAGUUUUUAUGGAAAUGUUAAUCAACUAUUGGUCAUGGCAAAAGCAUCUUUACAUUAUUGUUAAUAUAGAAUAUGAAAAGUCACUUUUCACUUU